rnacentral:lncRNA from 1 species
ACCUUCCCGUUGGGUUUCCACCAUCCUUUGAUGCUUCCAAGACCUUCCCGUUGGGUUUCCACCAUCUUUUCAUGGUUCCAAGACCUUCCCAUUGGGUUUCCACCAUCAUUUCAUGCUUUCAAGACCUUCUCGUUGGGUUUCCACUCAUUUUUGAUGGUUUCCAGUCAAUUUUUGAUGGUUUCAAACCCUUCCCAUUGGGUUUCCACCAUCCUUUGAUGCUUCCAAGACCUUCCCGUUGAGUUUCCAUCAGUUUUUGUCGGUUUUAAGCCAUUUUUUGAGGGUUUCAAGACCUUCCCGUUGGUUUCCCACCAUCUUUUCAUGGAUUCAAGACCUUCCCCUUGGCUUUCCACCCCUUUUUGAUGGUUUCAAGACCUUCCCCUUGGGUUUGAACCCCUUUUUGACGGUUUCAAACCAAUUUUUGAGGGUUUCAAGCCACUCCCAUCGGGUCUCCCACCAUUUUUGGGUCACUUUUAGGCCAUUUUUUGCCACUUUCGAGCCAUUUCUUGAUGGUUUCAAGCCAUUCCCGUUGGGUUCCCAACAUUUUUUUGUCACUUUUAAUCCAUUUUUUGACAAUUUCAUUGGUUUCCCACCAUUUUUUCCCCGCUUUUAGGCCAUUUUUUUGUGGUCUCAACCUACUUUUUGAUGGUUUCCCACCUUUUUUUGUCACUUUUAGGCCAUUUAUUGACGAUUUCAACCCACCUUUGGAUGAUUUCCCACCAUUUUUGUCACUUUUAGGCCAUUUUUUCACGGUCUCAACCUACUUUUUGAUGGUUUCCCACCAUUUUCUGUCCCUUUUAGGCCAUUUUUUCACAGUCUCAACCUACUUUUUGAUGGUUUCCCACCACUUUUUGUCACUUUUAGGCCAUUUUUUCGCGGUCUCAACCUACUUUUUGAUGGUUUCCCACCAUUUUUUGUCGCUUUUAGGCCAUUUUUUUGUCACUUUUAGGCCAUUUAUUGACGAUUUCAAGCCAUUCCCGUUGGUUACCCACCAUUUUAUGUUGAUUUCAGGCCAUUUUUUGAUGGUUUGA